UCCUCCUUGAUGUCCGUUCGUAAGCCACACAAAACAAGCACACACCCACAGACCUUAAUCACUUCAUUUUAAACCACACAAGCCACCAACCUCUGAUUAUAACUUUCAAACCUGCAAUUUCAUUCCAAAAAUUUUGCCAAAAAGCUGAAGAACAAGUAAUUUAGUACUAUACCCAGAAACUCGGCGCAAACGGAUCUAGGAAUCUAGGCCUAACGAGUGAUACGCGGAAAGGUGUGGAUUAGCAUACUUUGAUAGCCUAGUACCUAUGCAAUCUAUAUCAUGUUUGACAGUCGUAGUAGAUCUGAGGAUGAGCCAAUGUUGGAUCCGGAACAGGAGGAAGGCGAUGAGGAGGAGGGUGAUCAGGUUGUCCCUAGAUAAUCUCCGGAUUUAUCCAGAUAUGUGUGUGGUUCUCUACCUCCCCGACACCCACCUGUUACAGGACAGUCUAGUCAUGCCCAUGAUGUUUGUGAUGACAUAGUUUCCCAUGAGGAUACCAGUAGUGAGCGUAUACUGAGUCAGGCACAUAGGCCACCUCCACCUAGAGAACCCACUCCACCAUGUAGGUAUUUUCAUCAGACUGCACGUCGUAGGGUUCCUACACCUAACCCUACAUUUUCACCACCUAUAAGAGAGGAGAGCCAUCCUACGCAGCUCGAGGUAUCCCUGUCCCACUGAGAGCUAGAGCUCCUACGCCACCUAGGACUGGAUGGUUAGGUUUCCUGUUCGAUCGAGUGGUAGAGAACACCAUAGCUCUAACUGAUGAGAUACACCGUAGGAAUGAGAUCUACGAUUACAUUAUAGUUAUGCAGCAAGCGGCUAUAUUGAUGCAUCAGUCUAUGUCAUAUUUAGUUUAUCGCGUUGGUUGUAAAGAGGGACAUAUGCAGUUUUACAUGGGUGUACUGGCGAUUGUAGUGAUGCUGGUGAUGUGGUUGGCUAUGCGUACGAGAGGACAAUAGACAGUGGUAACAUAUGUGUAUAUAUAUAUAUAUAGCUUUUGCACCCUUUCAAGUACUAGGCUUGCAUGCCUAUGUCGAGAUUGGGGAUACAAUAUAUUAUAUUUCCUUUUCGGAUAUUAGUGAUCCUUGUAUGUACGAUGCCUUAGUGGCUAGCUUUUGUUUGCAACCCUUAGUGGAUUACGGUUGUAUACCAAAUUUUGUCAAGUACAGUGGCUUCUAUGUAUGAUAGUGGUUUCUUUUAUGCAUUAUAUAUAUGCGUUGUUGCUAUCUUUUGGAUGCACAUGGUUGCUAUGUUUGACAUAUACGCUUGGAUGCGUGCGGUUGUUAUGUGUGAAACAUGUGCAAAUGGGUUGAUACGAUACCAAUCGAGGUGUGUUUGCAUUAUUUUAGAAAUGGCCCCAAAACGAGCUAAUGUGAUGUCUGAGGCGGACAUAGCCCAACUGAUAGCGCAACCACUUCAGGCUGCAAUUCCUAUCAUAAUUACCCAAGUUACUAAUGGGUUUAACGCGGGGUUACAUAAUGACAAACCAAAUCCUAGUAAUCCUAACCCUGAUAACCGGCCCCCACAACGUCCUUGUUCUUACAAGGAGUUUAUGUUCUGCAACCCUUUAGAGUUUCAAGGGACUAAAGGACUUAAUGGGAUAGUUAGGUGGAUUGAGAAAACGGAAAAAGGUAAUAAAUAUUAGUAAUUGUCCAAACAAUUGUGUUGUCAAGUAUGCCACCUGUACAUUUCACGACCACGCAUUAACAUGGUGGAAUACAGUGGUCCAGACCGUGGUCAGGAAGCCAUUAACCAAAUGCAAUGGGCAGAAUUGAAACAGCUCGUGUUGGACCAAUUCUGUCCUAAGAAUGAAAUUCAAAAAUUAGAAAAUGAGUUAUGGAAUCUACAAAUGCACGUUGCGGAUCACGUGGGUUAUACUAAUAGGUUUCAUGACUUGACUAGGAUCUUACCCCAAAUGGUGACACCUGAGAAUAAACGAAUAUAACAAUAUAUAUGGGGUUUAGCUCCGGAGGUUAGGAGUAUCGUGAAUUCAGUUGACCACCCCACGAUGCAGAGGGCAGGCACUAUUACUCUUGAUAUGGUAUGUAGGAAUAUACUGAAAAUGCCUAAUGAAGGAAAAAGUGGGAAGCGGAGUGCGGAUGAGUAUAACGCGGAGAAUAGUUAGGGUAAUAAGCGUAAUAGGACCACUGCAAGAAAUUAUAGCAUGACAGCAACGGAGAAGAAACCAGGAGGAUACAAGGGAAAUCUUCCCGAGUGCAACAAGUGUGGAUUUCAUCAUGUAGGUAGUUGUCGUAUUUGUAAUAAAUGUCGUAAACCCGUCCACUUUGCAAGGGAAUGCAAAGCACCCAUAGGAAACCCGCCUGGACAACCAAGAACCCGUCCACAAACAAAACAACAACCCAAACCCUUACAACAGCGUCCCCAACAGCAACAACAGUUAGUGCCACUCCGAGCGUGUUACGGAUGUGGUAGUACCAAACACUUGAGGAACACAUGUCCCCAGGUUUACCAUGGAACGGGUGGAAGGCAGGCCCAAGGGCAGGCAUCCAAUGCGAACCAGGCUAGAGGACGUGCAUUCAUUAUGAGAGCUGAUGAUGCACGAUAGGACCCUAACAUCGUCACAGGUAUUUUCGUAGUUUCAGGACAUUACGCUUCAGUAUUAUUUGAUACCGGUGCCGAUAGAAGCUUUAUCUUUCUUAAGUUUCAAUCUCUUCUUGAAAUGUUGCCUAGUGAAUUAGGAUGCCCUUAUUCUAUAGAAUUGGCCGAUGGCAAAUUUAUAACUACUAACGAAAUAAUUCGAAACUGCAUAAUAACCUUCAACAAUCAUCAGUUUCCAAUUGACCUUUUACUGGUAGAAUUGGGAAGUUUUGAUGUAGUAAUAGGAAUGGAUUGGCUAUCGAAAUUAAGGCAGAAAUCAUGUGCUUAGAAAAGAUCGUUAGGAUUCCAUUAACAAGUGGAGAAGUGUUAGUAGUUCAAGGAGAAAAACCCGGUAGAAUAUUAUCAUUAGUAUCCCAUACUAAGAUGCAAAAGUACAUUCGUAAAGGUUGUAUGGCAUACAUGGUAAAUAUGGAAACCAAAGAUCCUAAUGAGAAGCGAAUUGAAGAUAUACACGUAGUUUGUGAAUAUGUUGAUAUAUUCCCUGAUGAAUUACCCAGAUUGCCAUUACCUCGAUAAGUUGAAUUCCGUAUUGAUUUGAUCCCUGGAGCAGCCCCUAUUGCCAGAGCACCUUAUAGGUUAGCACCCUCUGAGCUAUAGGAAUUGUCUAGUCAAUUUUAGGAAUUACUAGACAAAGGUUUUAUACGACCUAGUUUUUCACCUUAGGGAGCCCCGUAAUGUUUUUUAGGAAAAAGGAUGGAAGUUUUCGUAUGUGUAUAGAUUACAGGGAACUAAACAAGGUUACUAUUAAGAAUAUAUACCCAUUGCCUCGCAUAGACGAUAUAUUUGACCAACUGCAGGGAGCAAGUUGUUUCUCCAAAAUCGAUAUAAGAUCGGGAUAUCACCAAGUUAAGAUUCGAGAAGACGAUAUUCCGAAAACUGCUUUCCGAACUCGUUAUGGACAUUACGAGUUCUUAGUUAUGCCUUUCGGGCUAACAAAUGCGCCUACAGUAUUUAUGGACCUUAUGAAUCGGGUUUGUAAACCAUUUUUAGAUAAGUUUGUGAUAGUCUUCAUAGAUGACAUUUUGAUCUACUCUAAGAGCAAAGAAAAGCACGCACAACAUUUGUGACUAGUUUUAGAACUACUUAGACACGAGCAGCUGUAUGCGAAACUUUCAAAAUGUGAAUUCUGGUUGAAGGAAGUCCAAUUCUUAGGUCAUGUAGUGAAUCACCAAGGAAUUCAAGUUGACCCUAGUAAGAUUGAGGAUAUUAAGAAUUGGCAAGCACCAAGGUCGCUUACAGAAAUUCGUCAAUUCCUAGGCUUAGCCGGUUACUACCGACGCUUCAUUGAAAAUUUCUCAAGCAUUGCGCAGUCCCUAACCCUCCUAACUCAAAAGGAUUAGAAGUUUAAGUGGGGAGAGGAACAAGAGGCAACUUUUCAGUUGUUGAAACAUAAGUUAUGCAAUACCCCGAUUCUUACCUUGCCGGAGGGAAAUGGGGAUUUUGUGAUUUAUUGCGACGCAUCUCAUAAAGGUUUAGGAUGUGUGCUGAUGCAAAGGAAUAAAGCGAUUGCCUAUGCCUCCAGACAGCUUAAAAUACAUGAAAAGAAUCAUACUACGCAUGACUUAGAGCUUGGAGCCGUAAUUUUUGCACUUAAGAUAUGGCGACACUACUUGUAUGGGACUAAGUGCACUAUCUACACAGACCAUAAGAGUUUGCAACACAUCUUUGACCAGAAAAUGCUAAACAUGAGGCAGAGAAGGUGGGUGGAGUUAUUGAAUGAUUAUGAUUGGGAAAUUAAGUACACCCAGGUAAGGCCAAUGUAGUGGCAGACGCAUUAAGUAGAAAGGAACGUAUAAAACCGCUUCGCGUACGGGCUUCAGGAAUGAUUAUGCAAACGAAUCUCAAGGAACAGAUUCGUAUGGCCCGACAUGAAGCUCAGGGUGAAGCUCAGUUGUUAAACGAGGAACUACAUGGGAAUGAGAAGGACUUUGAGGUUAAGACCGACCAAAUGUGUUAUUUCAAAGACUGAUUAUGGAUCCUAAAGUGUCACAAUUUACGGGAAUUGGUUAUGGAUGAAGCACAUAAGUCUAAGUAUUCAAUUCAUCCCGGUAGUGACAAAAUGUACCAUGAUCUAAAGGAGUUUCAUUGGUGGCCUGGUAUGAAGAAGGAUAUGGUGAUAUAUGUUAGUAAGUGCUUGACUUGUGCUCGAGUCAAGACAGAAUAUCAAAAACCAUCUGGAAUGUUACAACAAUCUGAGAUUCCCCAAUGGAAGUGGGAACAAAUCACCAUGGAUUUUGUAACUCAUUUACCAAAAACACCAAAAGGUCAUGAUGCUAUUUGGGUAGUCGUGGAUAGGCUAACCAAAUCUGCGCAUUUCAUAACCAUUCAUACCAACUACAAGAUGGAAAAAUUGGUCGAACUUUACACAAACGAAAUUCUAGCUAGACAUGGAGUACCAAUUGAAAUUAUUUCUGACCAUGAUAGUCGCUUCAUGGUUCGGACUUUCAUAGAUACGUUUAAUUCAAGGAAAAUGAUAUGAAUCUCGAAUAUCUUGAUAAACAGAAUUUUAAUAACGAAUCUGGGUGUGGUGAAUACGUUGCGGUACUUCCUAUAUAUAAACACCCAGCUACAUUAUCAAGGUACCGUUAAUCAAGGUAUACGAGUUUCAUGAGCUUCAUGUUAUGAUCAGUUCUCCGAUUUGUUAUGCUUUGCUCAGUAUCACGUCUUGACUUCGACCUUGUUUCAUGCGGUAGAUUCAUACUUUCUUAAACUCAUUAUCGCAUGAUGUUAAACUCCAUUUCAUAGAAGAACCAUAGAAAUUGUAGACAGGAAAAGUCUGAGGUUGAGAAACAACAAAAUUGCUAUAGUUAAGGUCUGUUGGAAGUCAAAAACAGGACCUAAAUUUACCUGGGAACGAAAAGACCAGUUCUUAAAGAAAUACCCACAUCUCUUCCCCAACAAAAGAAAGGUUAGUAACUGAAUUUCGGGGACAAAAUUUCUUAACUGGGGGAGAAUGUGACAUUCGCCACAAAACCAGGUAAAUCCUAAUUUGAAUUACCUAGUUUACACAAUUAACAAACAGAUACUGAUUAUGCCUCGGUUGAAUCCAAAGGCACGUUAUACAUAGCAUAUGAGAAACAGGACCAAAAACAACUACAUUGGGUCCAUUGAAUUCAGAAAACUGUCGUAGGUGCCGUAAGCGAACCUAGGAGUACAGAAAUGCUAAGACAUGAUUCAUAAACUACAUAGGAUCAUUGAUGCUUUAUUGGGUAGAAAACGCAUUAAACAAAACAGUUUCCGGUUAGCGGAAAGCCUUUAAUUUUGACGCGCACUGUACAAUCCAAACAUGUGUUGUAACAUAAGUUAAGCCCGAAAAAGAGUAAUAUAACCUAAAUACAAGAUGUUUUGAGUAAUAACGUCCAAGUGCUCGAGCUUUUGCGUUGGUUGGGUUCGUUUUAAUUUUCUGCGCAAAAACGCCUAUAAAAACGCCCCGUUUUACGAAUUUUUCCACACCCGGGGAGCGUUUGAAACCCGAUAAUGAAACCGUGCCUAAAUAUCUACCUAAACUUAUCUAAUAUGUUGAAUUAUCGGACUUUGACUAGUCAAAGGAGGACAAAAAGUCCUCCUUGAUGUCCGUUCGUAAGCCACACAAAACAAGCACACACCCACAAACCUUAAUCACUUCAUUUUAAACCAUACACGCCACCAACCUCUGAUUAUAACUUUCAAACCUGCAAUUCCAUUCCAAAAAUUUUGCCAAAAAGCUCAAGAACAAGUAAUUUAGUACUAUACCCAAAAACUCGACGCAAACGGAUCUAGGAAUCUAGGCCUAACGAGUGAUACGCGGAAAGGUGUGGAUUAGCAUACUUUGAUAGCCUAGUACCUGUGCAAUCUGUAACCAGGACACUACGUGACGACCCCUUUUGUGUUAGCUGCUUGUGAAGUUUAUGUUCGAUACUAUGUGGAUAGAGGCAUGCUACUUAGCUAAAUAAAACGGUUCAUGGAAACUCGCGUAGUAUCUAGCAAAAAUAUGUAACAGUAAUGUGUAAUAGCGAUACAUAAAACAAUGAUGUAUCAUAUUGUUUAAUUAAUGUUUAAUAGAGUAUCUUUAUAACAAUGACUCAAA